CGUGUGGGCAACCUGCCCUGUACUGGGGAAUAAUCAUUGGAAACGAUGACUAAUACCGCAUGUGGUCCUCGGAAGGCAUCUUCUGAGGAAGAAAGGAUUUAUUCGGUACAGGAUGGGCCCGCAUCUGAUUAGCUAGUUGGUGAGAUAACAGCCCACCAAGGCGACAAUCAGUAGCCGACCUGAGAGGGUGAUCGGCCACAUUGGGACUGAGACACGGCCCAA
rnacentral:rRNA from 1 species